UAUUAUUGAUAUUAUUAUUGUUGUUUAUUUUUUUUACCAUUUUGUUUAUUUUGUUUACUUUGGAUCAACUCUGUUGUGCAUUAAGUGACCUGACUUGACCAAACCUACCCAUGCUCUUCAGUCAAUGACGUCGCUCAGUCUCGCGCUUGACAGCUUGAAUCGGAAUCCCUCGUCUACGACUAGAACUACUCCAGCCUCAUUCUUGUUGUACUGCUAGAACCUGAGCUGACUGAGUGUCUCGUUGCCUCUGUCAAGUUUGGAGCCCCAAAAACUUCGCCCUGAACUUAACGGGACUUUUCACAUUACCACACACAAAGCAAUUGUCUUUUUAAAGACUUCCACCAUCUCCACCUUCCCUUGUGCUGCGCUAGGCUUUGCCACAGAAAUACUCCCAAGACUCCCAUCUCCCAUCCCUUGCUGUGCUACAGACUUUUCAGGCUUGUUCCAGACCAGCCCUGUCAGAGUGGUGUCUGCGUGUCACUUGUGACACUGCCUGUCAUCGUCUGCACACCCUGCACUACACUGCACUGCAAUCAUAUACAACAGAACCCACUAACGCCUACCUGCAAACAUAUCUACUACAAGAACCAAACACUUGCUGAGAACAUAUCUGACUGCACAUGCUAUACUCUGAACCCUUUUGAUUGAAACCGCCUUUGAGAUUGAAACCGCCUUUGAUAUUGAAACUGCCUUUGAUAUUGAAACCGCCUUUGAGAUUGAAACCGCCUUUGAAACUGAAUCCUUUUCUGAAUACUACUCUGCAUCAUAUUGAGACUGAAUAUCACUCUAAACCAGCAAACCCACUCUAAACAUACCUGCAGACAUAUUUCAUACAUAAUUGACCACUUUCUGAUCACACAUACCUUGCUACUAUACUCUGUACCAUUUUGAGACUGAAACCUCCUUUGAAUUCUGAACCAUUUUGAGACUGAAACCUCCUUUGAAUCCUAUUCGGAACCAUUUUGAGACUGAAACCGCCUUUGAACUCUGAACCAUUUUGAGACUGAAACAUCCUUUGAAUCCUAUUUGGAACCAUUUUGAGACUGAAACCUCCUUUAAAUUCUGAACCAUUUUGAGACUGAAACCCCCUUUGAAUCAUAUUCUGAACCAUUUUGAAACUGAAUCAUUUUCUGAAUACUACUUUGAAUGAUAUUGAGACUCUGAACCAACAGAACAUAACAUACAAACAUAUUUCCUACAAGAAUUUACCACUUUCUGACAGCACAUACUCUGAACUAUAUAAAGACUCUGAACCAUACUGAGAACUACCUGUGAACUAUUCACAUACAGAACUAUUACUGUGAGCUGUACAAACCUGUGAAACAUUUAUAUAUUUCAAUAAUACCUGUCAAAGUUGUCUUUGCUGUUAUACCUACUUUUAGACCUGGGCUGUGCUGCAAGACUGAAUCUGAGCUGUGUGAGGACUUCGAAAUUCCAUCCUAGUUCAGCAUAAAACUGAUCAUCUCAAGAGCUUCCUCUCAUUCUUCAUCAGCGUCAUAAAGUGUUACCUCUACCUAGCAGUUCCAGUGCCAUAUUCAGAAUUGCCACUGAUAAACAAAAUACGCAUUAAGAUAACAUUGAGGAUAAUUUCAGAAUUUAAUCAAUAAUUAAACUAAAGUAAAUAUUG